CAUAGCGACUAUCGUGGCAUAUCAAUAAGCGGAGGAAAAGAAACUAACAAGGAUUCCCUUAGUAACGGCGAGUGAAGCGGGAAGAGCUCAAAUUUGAAAUCUUCAAGGUUCUACCUUGACGAAUUGUAGUUUAUAGAAGUGUUUUCUGUUAGUAGAGUGGCAAAAGUUCUUUGGAAUAGGACAUCAUAGAGGGUGAGAAUCCCGUAUUUGGUCAUUCUUUCUAGCUUUGUGAUACACUUUCAACGAGUCGGAUUGUUUGGGAAUGCAGUCCAAAAUGGGUGGUAAAUUUCAUCUAAAGCUAAAUAUUGGCGAGAGACCGAUAGCGAACAAGUACCGUGAGGGAAAGAUGAAAAGAACUUUGAAAAGAGAGUUAAACAGUACGUGAAAUUGUCAAAAGGGAAGCGUUUGACACCAGUGUUGUUUUUCCGAAAAUCAAUUACGAAUGUUUUAUUUUUGAGAAGUUAUGACUUCAUCGGCUUGCUCCUUUCUUUAUGAAACUUUCUUAAUGCACUUUUCGGUUAACAAGUCAACAUCAAUUUCUUUUGUUGUAAAAGGGUAUGAGGAAGGUGGCUUUCUUUUCGGAGAAAGUGUUUAUAGCCUUGUACCUCUGCAAUCGGAGAGAUUGAGGUCUGCAGCGUAGAUCCUUCGGGGUUAGAUACAUUUGUGCUAAGUUAUAGCUUUUCAUAGGACAACUUGUUGACUAUGUUUAGUCUUGUAGCUUACUCGCUUAUGCUAUUUUACCUACGCUUAGGAUGUUGAUAUGCAUGACUGAUAU
rnacentral:rRNA from 1 species